CCUACGGGAGGCAGCAGUCGAGAAUCAUUCACAAUGGGGGAAACCCUGAUGGUGCGACGCCGCGUGGGGGAAUGAAGGUCUUCGGAUUGUAAACCCCUGUCAUGUGGGAGCAAAUUAAAAAGAUAGUACCACAAGAGGAAGAGACGGCUAACUCUGUGCCAGCAGCCGCGGUAAUACAGAGGUCUCAAGCGUUGUUCGGAAUCACUGGGCGUAAAGUGUGCGUAGGCUGUUUCGUAAGUCGUGUGUGAAAGGCGCGGGCUCAACCCGCGGACGGCACAUGAUACUGCGAGACUAGAGUAAUGGAGGGGGAACCGGAAUUCUCGGUGUAGCAGUGAAAUGCGUAGAUAUCGAGAGGAACACUCGUGGCGAAGGCGGGUUCCUGGACAUUAACUGACGCUGAGGCACGAAGGCCAGGGGAGCGAAAGGGAUUAGAUACCCGUGUAGUC
rnacentral:rRNA from 1 species